rnacentral:misc_RNA from 1 species
GAUGAAGAACGUAGCGAAAUGCGAUAAGUAAUGUGAAUUGCAGAAUUCAGUGAAUCAUCGAAUCUUUGAACGCACAUUGCGCCCGCCAGUAUUCUGGCGGGCAUGCCUGUCUGAGCGUCAUUUCAACCCUCAUGCCCCUAGGGCGUGGUGUUGGGGAUCGGCCAAAGCCCGCGAGGGACGGCCGGCCCCUAAAUCUAGUGGCGGACCCGUCGUGGCCUCCUCUGCGAAGUAGUGAUAUUCCGCAUCGGAGAGCGAUGAGCCCCUGCCGUUAAACCCCCAACUUUCCAAGGUUGACCUCAAAUCAGGUAGGAAUACCCGCUGAACUUAAGCAUAUCAAUAAGCGGAGGA